AGAGUUUGAUCCUGGCUCAGAUUGAACGCUAGCGGGAUGCCUUACACAUGCAAGUCGAACGGCAGCACGGACUUCGGUCUGGUGGCGAGUGGCGAACGGGUGAGUAAUGUAUCGGAACGUGCCUAGUAGCGGGGGAUAACUACGCGAAAGCGUAGCUAAUACCGCAUACGCCCUACGGGGGAAAGCAGGGGAUCGCAAGACCUUGCACUAUUAGAGCGGCCGAUAUCGGAUUAGCUAGUUGGUGGGGUAACGGCUCACCAAGGCGACGAUCCGUAGCUGGUUUGAGAGGACGACCAGCCACACUGGGACUGAGACACGGCCCAGACUCCUACGGGAGGCAGCAGUGGGGAAUUUUGGACAAUGGGGGAAACCCUGAUCCAGCCAUCCCGCGUGUGCGAUGAAGGCCUUCGGGUUGUAAAGCACUUUUGGCAGGAAAGAAACGUCAUGGGCUAAUACCCCGUGAAACUGACGGUACCUGCAGAAUAAGCACCGGCUAACUACGUGCCAGCAGCCGCGGUAAUACGUAGGGUGCAAGCGUUAAUCGGAAUUACUGGGCGUAAAGCGUGCGCAGGCGGUUCGGAAAGAAAGAUGUGAAAUCCCAGAGCUUAACUUUGGAACUGCAUUUUUAACUACCGAGCUAGAGUGUGUCAGAGGGAGGUGGAAUUCCGCGUGUAGCAGUGAAAU
rnacentral:rRNA from 1 species